UCUUGUAUGCUAUUUCAUUUGGCAUCUGAAUCGAUAAAUUUAUCUCCUAGCUGUUGGUUUUAGAGAGAGAAAAUGAGGAGGAGAAUCUCUACUACCAAGGUUUCAUCUUUGGUUCUUGUCUCUGAAAUUUAUGAUUUAAGAACUGUAAUCUAUGAUGUUUAGCCUCUUUUUUUUAAUAUUUCGAGUGGACAUUUGUAAGAACAAGAGGGUUUUUAUGAGUUGUUAUUUUCAGAGGAGUUUUGGGACAAUUCUUGGUGAUUAUUCAUAGAUCGGAUGUUGUUCUUGAGAGAUAAGUGUUUUUAUGCUAUCUCUGUUUUAUUGGUUAAAACUCUUGUAACCCUUGUUACCAUUUUGGGCUAUUUAAUCCAAUUUAUUGAAUUCUCAAAGGAGAUGUAAGUGUUAGAAAUGGUCUCCAAACCUCCAAGGUUUCGGCCAAAAUAAUUCUCGUGUUCGAUCUUUAAUUUCUGCACAUUUACUUUCUGUAAGAUCAAUUUAUCUUGUUUCUCAAAACUGAUAUUGUAUGAAUCUGGCCUUACAGUGGUAUCAGAGCCAUUACUGAGUAGCAAGAUACUUGGAUUCGAGAAGAAAGUGUCUGAUCUACUACAUAUUUGAAAAUUUUGAAACUGUUUUUAUGCAAAACCGAAAGAAAACACUUUGUAUGAACUCGUUGGGUAAGAUAUUUAAUUUUUUUGUAAACUUUCCUUUUCAGAAAUUAGGGUUUCUUGAUUUUUCCUUGAUUUUCUGUACACUGAGAACCUCCUUGAGACUAAUUUUUGUCCAAAGGCUCCUACGAGUCCUUGAGAAUCUGAGACAAACGUGUGCAUAGGGAAGACCUUAUAGGAGGAAUCUUUGAAACGUAGUACCGUGAUCUUUGUCACUGUGUUUUCUUUUUGAUCUUGGCCGACAUGUUCUCUGAAUAUGCUUGAAAUUUACAAAACUUGUGAAAUCUUGUUUUACUUUUCGUACUACUGUGAUUCAAUUAACACUAAGCUGAAUAUUGUUAUUCUUUGUAGGUAUUGUCUUCAACUUGUGUUUCAUUUUUAUUAGGAAAAUGGACAUUGCUAAGUUUGAAGUUAUUUGAUGGAAAUUUUGAAUUUAAUAUUUGGUGUCAG
rnacentral:lncRNA from 1 species